rnacentral:rRNA from 1 species
AGCGGCGGACGGGUGAGUAACGCGUAGGCAACCUGCCCUUUGCAGAGGGAUAGCCAUUGGAAACGAUGAUUAAAACCUCAUAACACUUUUUUGUCACAUGGCAAGGAGGUCAAAGAUUUAUCGGCAAAGGAUGGGCCUGCGUCUGAUUAGCUAGUUGGUGGGGUAACGGCCUACCAAGGCGACGAUCAGUAGCCGACCUGAGAGGGUGAACGGCCACAUUGGAACUGAGACACGGUCCAAACUCCUACGGGAGGCAGCAG